CGCGUAGGCGGUUUGGUCAGUCAGAUGUGAAAGCCCCGGGCUCAACCUGGGAACUGCAUUUGAUACUGCUGAACUAGAGUGUGGUAGAGGGAAGUGGAAUUCCGGGUGUAGCGGUGAAACGCGUAGAGAUCCGGAGGAACAUCAGUGGCGAAGGCGGCUUCCUGGACCAACACUGACGCUGAGGUGCGAAAGCGUGGGUAGCAAACA
rnacentral:rRNA from 1 species